GACGAACGCUGGCGGCGUGCUUAACACAUGCAAGUCGAGCGAUGAAGUUCCUUCGGGAAUGGAUUAGCGGCGGACGGGUGAGUAACACGUGGGUAACCUGCCUCAUAGAGGGGAAUAGCCUUUCGAAAGGAAGAUUAAUACCGCAUAAGAUUGUAGUUUCGCAUGAAGCAGCAAUUAAAGGAGUAAUCCGCUAUGAGAUGGACCCGCGUCGCAUUAGCUAGUUGGUGAGGUAACGGCCCACCAAGGCGACGAUGCGUAGCCGACCUGAGAGGGUGAUCGGCCACAUUGGGACUGAGACACGGCCCAGACUCCUACGGGAGGCAGCAGUGGGGAAUAUUGCACAAUGGGGGAAACCCUGAUGCAGCAACGCCGCGUGAGUGAUGACGGUCUUCGGAUUGUAAAGCUCUGUCUUCAGGGACGAUAAUGACGGUACCUGAGGAGGAAGCCACGGCUAACUACGUGCCAGCCGCCGCGGUAA
rnacentral:rRNA from 1 species